UACGAAGGGGGCUAGCGUUGCUCGGCAUCACUGGGCGUAAAGGGUGCGUAGGCGGGUCUUUAAGUCAGGGGUGAAAUCCUGGAGCUCAACUCCAGAACUGCCUUUGAUACUGAGGAUCUGAGUUCGGGAGAGGUGAGUGGAACUGCGAGUGUAGAGGUGAAAUUCGUAGAUAUUCGCAAGAACACCAGUGGCGAAGGCGGCUCACUGGCCCGAUACUGACGCUGAGGCACGAAAGCGUGGGGAGCAAACAGG
rnacentral:rRNA from 1 species